rnacentral:rRNA from 1 species
CCGAUGACGUAUCCUUCAAAUGUCUGACUUAUCAGCUGUCGAUGGUAGACUCUGUGUCUACCAUGGCUCUCACGGGUGACGGGGAAUCAGGGUUCGAUUCCGGAGAGGGAGCCUGAGAAACGGCUACCACAUCCAAGGAAGGCAGCAGGCACGCAAAUUACCCACUCCCGGCACGGGGAGGUAGUGACAAAAAAUAACGAUACGGGACUCAUCCGAGGCCCCGUAAUCGGAAUGAGAACACCCUAAAUCCUAUAACGAGGAUCCAUUGGAGGGAAAGUCUGGUGCCAGCAGCCGCGGUAAUUCCAGCUCCAAUAGCGUAUAUUAAAGUUGUUGCGGUUAAAAAGCUCGUAGUUGGUUCUGCGUGCCACGCUGUCGGUUCACCGCCUGCCGGUGCAACUGGCAUGCCGUGGCAUGUCCUGUCGGUGGCUGAUAGGCUUCACGUCGUACACCAUGCAGUUCAUGCUGUGUGGGUUAGUGCGCCGUGUUGUCCUUGUAAGCCGGCUCAAUCCUACCGCGGUGCUCUUUACCGAGUGUCGAGGUAGGCCGACACUGUUUACUUUGAACAAAUUAGAGUGCUUAAAGCAGGCUCUUAAAUCAGCCUGAAUAGUGGUGCAUGGAAUAAUGGAACAGGACCUUGGUUCUAUUUUGUUGGUUUUAGGAAUCCAAGGUAAUGAUCAAUAAGGACAGGCGGGGGCAUUCGUAUUGCGACGUUAGAGGUGAAAUUCUUGGAUCGUCGCAAGACGCACUAGAGCGAAAGCAUUUGCCAAGUAUGUCCUAAUUGAUC